GUCCCUUGCGUGUGGUUUCUGUUAUGCAUAAUCUAUCAAAGCUAGUCAUUGGAGCCUUAGCUACUUCUCUUACUCUAGGAUGGUUAGCGAAGUGCCUUAGUUGUAUAUAUCUGAAAAAGUCUCUAGUCUGUAGUGGCGCUGCCUGUUUUAGUUCGUCAAAGGUUUUGAAUGUGUCUCCGUCGUAUAGGUGAUAGUAUCUCUGCAGGCCUGCGUAUUCCAGACCUUUGAAGUCCCUCGCCCGCAUACUUGGUGCGAAUGCCCUAUUUCUCAAAUAUGGGGUGAGAGGUGAGGGCAUUCUCGUUAGAGCAUAUUUUUGUGCGUUGGCGUCCCAUACUGUAAUGGAGUUGAGUAUAGCUGGGCAGUCUGUGAGUAAGGGUGGUCUGUCUGAUUUUGGUACC